rnacentral:piRNA from 1 species
UCCCUGGGCCAAUGGUCUUGAGGACUGUGG